AUAAAAUCGGGUUUCUUCUUCUGUAGUGGAUACUUUAUUAAAUGAAUAUAUACGAAUAUAUAUACAUAUAUGCAUCUGUACAUACAUUCAUACAUUCGUACUGGUCAGUCCUGUCCUGUCCCGUCCCGUCCCGGGCGAAAGCCCGGGACAGAACAUAGAUGUUGUUACUCUGACUCCCAGGUAGUCGACAAUAGUUCAAUGGAAGGCUACUCUUUUAUAUGUUCAUGAUGUGCAUUGGCCGGACAGAUAGAUUUCCCCUAACUUAAUAUGGUUAUGGGGUUCGUGACCUGAAGUCUACAUGUAAACACAACAUUAAUUAUAACUACACAAAGAUAAUUGGAUACUACCAGUAUUACAUGAACAUGGUAUAGAUAACAUCCAAGUUGUUUAGAGAACCGAGGUCCGUCUAAUUAUUGGCAAAUUAGCUAACACGUGUACAUGUAGAUAUGAUUAUUUACAGGUUCUAUAAUUAUAUAAACUUCUACUGAACAUAUUACAGUACAUUUCGUUUCUAUGCAAUUUAAAAGAUUUCAAAUUAGAUAUAAUUUGACAUCAAGCGUAAGCGAAAUAGUCGAAAUUAACACUUAUUUUUAACAGGUUAAAUCAAAAGGAUUAAGUACAUGGGUUUCACAAGUUCAUCACUGAAUGUCACUGGUAAUUAAAUUUUAUUAUUGAAAUUGUUCUUCGUCUGGCACAGCUGUUGUAUUGGGUCCACGUUCAGGCGCGCAAUAAUCCGUCGAGAAAACUGUUGAACAAUAUAUAAAGUAAAUAAAAGUUCCUAGGAGUGACGUACAACCGUCUGUUUAAUCCAGGAUAAAAACGUCUUGCACACAAUAAGGCUAAGACUGGUAAAGUAGAACUGAGUUCCUUGUAACAUAUUUGUAGAUAAAACAGGAAAAUGUUCCUUCAAUAAUCAUAAUAUGUGGUUGAAAUGUUCCGUUGACUGUGUCAGUUGUUAUGAGGGGCUGGUCCAAAAUUUCGUAGAUACAUUGUAAUAUUCCGGCAUAAAAACUGCAUCGGAUAUGAAUCAGUCCAACAACAUGACGAAAUAUUAUGAGAGUUCAUUAAACAAUUUAUUUAUUACUCCGUGUUAUAACCACGUGAGGAAUCUCUGCUAAAGGUUGUAGACAUUAAUAAUUGGUGUUGA